AUGGGUGGGAGGCGCAGAGGUCGGCAGUCAACGUUUGGCGCUCCACAUCACCAACUACUUCUGAAGGAUUGCAGGAAGGAGCAGCAAGAAGAAAAUUCUAUCCGUACUAGCGGCACGGCGUGGUUUGCAAGGUUCGAUGAAUCUAAAGCCUGCGAGUCUUGCAUCUGGUCAAAUAUAUCUGCUACGAAUGUUCAUCUUGUUUCUGCUGGGCCAGCAGACUGUACUCGGGGACUGUCGGUCCUCAACACUCUUCAUUCACUCACUGAUGAACAGCUACGCGGUGUUUCAGACUUCAGAUUCUUCUUCAGUCAAUGA
rnacentral:rRNA from 1 species